CAGCGGCGUCUGCAGCGACGACUCGCACGUCGCCGAGCUCCGCGCCAGCCACAGCCCCCCUCCGAUGAUCGGAAUCGACGCCAGUAGCGUCAAAAGAUUCAAGUAUCCGAUCACCGUGUUGCUGAAUCGGAUGGGUCAAGCGUUCUAAAGAAUCAGAACAUGAAGUGACCUGUGCUUGAUAGGAUAAGGGCCCGAUUCUGGGUGUCGAGUACAGCGUGCCAACUAGUAUGGAGGGACUUCUACUGUUUUUGGACCAAGAGAAUCUACUGUAAGCUUCUUGGACUUUUCACAAGUUAUGAAAUCUUCCUCCACAAACUCAAAGAUCAUGGAGUUUCGCAGAAGACUGUCCUUGAUUGGAAUUUUCAGCACAUCGGAGUUGGAUUGUUGCAUACAAAUUUUCCAAUUAUGCAGCCAGGUUUGUAAUGCCAUGAUACAAACUGCUUUGAUUUCUGUAUUUGAAUUCUCAUGAUUUAUCGUAUCUUAAUUUCUUGUAAUAUGUGAUUGCUCGGGCAAGUUGGUAGAUUUUUAUUAUGACAUGAAUUCUAUCCUAAUCCAUCCAUCACCGUGUUUGUGAGAGUUGUGAUUGAUUUAGAGUUUUUAAGAUUUGUUGAAAGAUCACUUUUCUUUUUACCCCAAAGAGAUCAAUUUUCUAUUAUUUUCUUUUUAACCAUUGCCUUGUUCUUGCCUGAUCUUUCCGAUGACUGAUAUUUUUCUCAUAUUAGUCCAUAUAUAGCCCUUAAUACUGACAGUCUGGUUCAUAAAAUGUAAGUUUUUUGGCUGGAAAACAGGAUAUUUAUGUUCAUCUCUUUUCAGAAUAUUGAAAUAUGACCUUUUUUUUCUUCUGAUACUCCUAAGGAGAUUAAAAGCAGAACCAUUCUCAGAUAAAGAAAAAAAAAACUUCUGAAGAAUAGAUUAAGGAGAUGUAUGAAUUAAAAAAUAAAUCAUGUACGCCAUCAAUAUAUAUGGCCUUUCUGUCAAUUCUUCAACUAUCAGCUGCAAUCUGAUACAUGCAGAAAACAGGCGAGUCUCAGGAUUAGUCAACAUGUCAAAGUCACAAAAACUAAGAUGAUUGAAAACUUUUAGUCGGGAGACUCACUGUCCAUGAAAGGGUUUGGAAAUAAUGCUUGCUUGUGCAAGUAUUGGUAAGGGCACAUUUUCUUUGUUUUCCUCCGACCAUAACCCCUAUCAGCAAAUGUGUUAAGCUAGAAAAAAAUAGAUCAUAGGGCAUAUAAGCUUCGGAAAUGUGCUCCAAUAUUUAAGGAAAAUUAUAUGAACAAAAAGCUAUUCCGUUUGGAUAAAUAUCACAGUACAAAAGGAUGAAAACAAAGGUGCAGCUUAUUUUUGUUUGUUAUGUAUGCUUCCUUCUGAUUACCAUACACUUUUCACAAAAGAAAUUGUUUGCUAAUUUCUUAGUAUAAUCACCACUUAUAGGUACUAUACCACAUAAUAUGCAUAAAGUUGCCUUACACAUUUUAGGAGGUCCCAUUCUCAACACAUUCUGCUUGUCAAACACGAUAUAGCAAAAGAAGACAAUUACAUCAUCUUUAUCUUUAAGAUAUGCUUCAUCCAUUCACUCUUAAAUAAGCUUAGGUGGCACCAAAAUGAUAGGAAAGCUUCUAAUAAGUGCGAUCCUAUGCCAUCAUAUAACUCGUGACGAUCAUAUAAAAUCUAAAUUAUUCCAACCAUCAACAAGAUUCUAGAAAUGCAUUAUAACAAUGAUAAACAUUAUAUUUUUAUACUUGGGUAGGAAUGCAUGACUGAAAUGGGUACUGCUUUCACCUGACAAUAAGAAGCAGAUUGGUUAUGGCUUUGUAAUCAACUCUAGACACAUGAACAUAGGGGGCCAGUGGCUGGUGGGUUUGGUUUCCAUUCCUGGUUGGAUUUUCAAGGCAGAGGAAUGAAAAGAUACCUGUCCCAAGGGACAUCAAUCCAAAAUCUUAAGCAGCUCCUCUAAUAGUUCUCAAUAGUGACCGUUCCACUCUGUUUUUUUUUUUUUUCCUGAGAAGAAUCAUAUGUCCUUUUAACUAAAUCAACUGUUAACUUACCUCAAAAGACUAGGAUAACAAAUUUGCAAUGGCAAGCUUGUAAAGAAGGUUCAAAACAGAAGUAUAAUUUCAGAUAGAAGGAACGGUAUCAGAGAGGCCAUCUCAACAUGUUUUUGCAGUUAUUAAGUUCCAAAAUUAAUGCUUAAUGAAAACCUCUUUCUUUAACCUUUUCUUUCUGCUGUCAAAGACAAAGCCUAAGUAGUUUCAUGGAUAUUGUGAUAAAACAAAACAGAACUAACAGUCUUCAUUUUAAACGUGGCUAUAAGUUCAUUCCCUUAGCAAGAGGUAACUCAAUGAGUAAGAGCCUCUUUGGAGAGCCAACCAGCUCAGCUGGCCUUCCUAAAUACAUGACUGACAAGGACAUAGAAUGAAGUGAAGAAUAAGUCUUCUUUUCAAACUUAUUAGCAUAUAGUUGAAAUUUCAAAAGUAAGGAUAUAAAAAUGCUCACCACGAAGCACCUAGUACUAAGCAAAGUCCAACAAAUCAACAAGAAUAAAGUGGAAACCAUCUUACUAAUUCAAUUUGAGUACCAAAACUACAAGCAAAUUUAGAAUCAUAGUGCAUCAUUGAAUAGUUACAGAACAUCGACAAAAUCCUCGUAGCCUUAGGCAAUCAUGAUUUUCUAGAAGGAUCGUGUUCAUAAACUAAGAACAGGUGCAUUCAGAUAUAUCAAGUGUAUUUGCAAAAAAAGCCAUAUCCACACAAAAUAGCAUAUCCACACCAAUCAAUCAAUCUAUGUCAUAAAUGCAAAUUGCAAGUUUACACUUUUGGUUAAAACUGCAAAACACUCCACACGCACAUACGAUACAACCAUACACACUAAACAAUAUAAUCAGUGGCACAGCUACAGCUAUAAUCUUCUGCAUGGUUUGUCCCAUCUGAAGUCCCAUGGCUAAGCACUCUGUAAAAGUGAGGUAGAUGUUAUCUUUCGAAGCAACAUAGUAAUUGGCAAACCCAGCCAAUAUAAGGGGACUAGCAACAAUAUAACAUGUUAUUAAUUAGUAAAGGAUGGUAAGGGUAAAAAUGGAGUUAUCAAGAAAUGCUUCUAAAUGGACCAUUUGUCAAAUGCACAUGAUGCUUCAUUGCAGAACAAGAAUUAUGUAUUCUAUAAAUCAUUUAGAAUGAUUUCAUCUCGCCAGCAAGUCUAUGGAAUGAGAAAUUCAGAGUGGUACAAAGUUCUUGGUAAACUAUACUGCCUAGUUCCCUUUUCUAAAUCGGCAUGCAGGAUGAUAUUUAACCAGCUAGGUGGAGAAGCUACAUCUAGCAUUGCAUCUUUGUGUGAGCUAUAACUCCUUAAAAAGUGUGAGAGAGAAAAGUUCAAACCUGAUUUGUUAUUUCAUCUUCUCCAAAAACAUUGGAAUUGAAAUCGUCACCUAACAUGUGAUAGAACAGAAGAUCAAAAUAAGUCAUUGAGCAUGAGAAAUGCAGCAUGAAAAUUAGUUCAGUCUAGUGACUUGAAUUGGGGCUAGUACCCUUCUCGUCUUCUGUCUUUGCUCCUAAGUUGGCCACUCCUACCACUUUUGGUUCCAUCAGUCCUCAUUUGCUCCCUAACAGAGAACUCAGACUCUGCUUUUGUUUUCUUAGAUGAACUCUGACACGUGUGAACAGAACUGUCAGAUGAUUUGUGCCUUGAUAUUUAAAGAUGAAAUUUGCAUGGAGAGCCUGGUGCCUCUGUUAGCCGACUUUUCCAGAUGCAUUUUCCCCCAAACAUCCCUUCGCACUUUCAUGGGAAAUGGUCAUGGUCUCAGAAUUCUUAUUCUCAGCAAAGGAGCCUUAGAUGGAUCAAGUGCCCGGCUUUCCAUCCAUAGGUUCCUCUUUGCCAGAACCAUCUUUCAGUUCAGUGCUAUUAAUAUCCAUGUCCUCGUCAGAUGCUUCCUCUCUUUAAUCUCAUGGCGGGUUAUCGUCAUCAGAAUAUUCCAAACGACUAUUUUUAUUCGUCUCACAUCUUAUUAGUUCCUCUCCAGCAUCGGGUUCGGGAUCCUCCUCCUCAGCUAAGGAAGGGUCACACUUAUCGAAUUUACAAGAAUCAGCAUUUGGUUGGUCAUUUGAUAGUCCAUAAGCGUUACAAAGAUCACUCAAAAUUGAUUUGGUGUUGUCCCAUAUAAAGUUUGACCUCACUCCUAUGUGAGCACCCAUCAGUUUAGUCCUACAUCGGUGGGCAAAUUUGAGUACUUAUACAGAACUAAGAAACACAAAAAAAACUUUCCGAUUAGUCUUUUUGGGUGAGGUUCUGAUUUGUUACACUCUGAAGCCUAUGAAAUGGCUGACAAGUAGAAAUAGGAAAGAGUGUGAUAAUUUAGAUCCAAGGCAUGCAUUAUGAGAAAGCAAAUGAAAGCUUAGGAGGUCCUUCAAGAAGAGGCACUGUACCUGGGCAUGGCACUCCAAGGCGAGGUGGAAGAAUGCAGCUGUAACAGAAUGCUGAAUACUUGAGCUUGUCAAGCCUACACUGGCUGCAACUCUGUGCACUAUGGUCUGGUGUGCCCACCAUUGAAAGGUUACCAUUGAAAGGUUACAAGAGAUUCAAGAUUUCAUUAGAGAAACAAGAAGCGAAGUAGUAAUUACCAGCGAAGGGGGUGGGAUGGGAUGGGAUGGACAUCCGUGGCGGCUGCGAAGCAAGUGCGUGGGAGGAAGGGAGGGAGGAUACGCUCCCGACGGCGCUCAAAAGAAAGAUUACUGGUUCGGAUGUCUGUCGCGAACUAACCAACUACGUGCUGAAUUCUAGUUUGAAACUGGUCGUAGAUAUUAUUUGAGUUGCAGGCAUGAAACGUUCUUCUCGUAAUGGUUCGAUAUUAUUGGGGCCGGAACAGUGCUAAUGCACCGUCUCGGGCUCGUCGGGGGACCGCGAGCUCUGGUUCAGUGGUUCUAUAGGAAGGAGACAUGACCCAUCUACUCGCACAGAUGAACUACUAGCUAUUGCUUAUUGUCUUUUGAGAGCUUUGGACAAGCAAGCUUCAGCUUGCAAAUGAUACACAUCACUUCGGUUUUUUAUGGAGGAAGAGUAGAUCUCUAACUGCGCACCUCUCUUGAUCCACCAUUCCAGAUCUGUUUCUACAAAAAGAACUGCCUGGCUUGUGGGUUUAGUCAACUCAAGUCUUUAGUCAGGAGGCUGGAACUAAUUUUUCUGAAAUAUUAUUUCCAAAGUGCAUUCAGGACAGGGUGGAUCUAAACCCUAUCAUCAGCUCAUCAUUUCACAUUCAUGGUCAUGCCAAAAAUUAAUAACAAAUGAAGAUUUCAUAGGGACUCUUUACAGGAUAUCAACCUUGUAUAUCUAGCAUUAAGUUAUUUAAAGGAUUUAUUUAUGAUGCACAUGCUCCAUGAGUGAUUGUAGUUCCAACUUAGUAUAAAGUAUUGUUUUACAAAAUCUGCGAGAAAAAAAAAUUCUGAAGUAUUUAGGUUCUAUGGAGGGUUUUAUAUAAUAAUGAUUAUGUCAACUUUGAAGUUUGAAUUAAUUCCAGGCACGCCAUUUGAUGUGGCUGGUUCAAAGUUUCCAUAAACCAAGAGAACUUAUCUAUAAUAUUUAUGAUCUAUAGAGGGUUUUAUAUAACAAUGCAUUAACACUUAUCUGAACUUACAAUUUACAAACUAGUCCGGCCGGCCGGCCGCAUGUGGGACCAGAUAAGGCCAGGCACGAAGGUCUUUGUUUUUUUUCAAUUUUACCCCCUAACAGGUGUUAGUAUUACAGCAAAGUCUUUUUAGUUUUCAGUAAAAACCACCUUCCUCAUUCCUCAGCAGCCUCAACAAGUUCAUAUUAACAAGUUUAGUAGAGUGAUGCAGUGAAUACGAGCAAGGUAUAGAAUCAUGAACUGUCGCCUUAAAAAUCUUCUCUACAGCAAUGAAUCAUGGUCUUAAAAAAUCUUCUCCAUAGCCAUGGUGCAUGGACCUGAUAAACUUAAUUCAGGCUGAUAAACACGAUUCUUUAUAAUGGAUUCCAAAACGAAACAGAAUUUUAUCUGGUCUAGUGCAGCAUGAUAGUUAGAGACAUACGAUGACAUUCCAAUUGAUGACUUCUAAGAUUUUAGUCAUCCAAAAUCAUGAGAUCCUCUACAAAAAGAA